UAGGGAAUCUUCCGCAAUGGGCGAAAGCUUGACGGAGCAACGCCGCGUGAGUGAUGAAGGCCUUCGGAUCGUAAAACUCUGUCAUUAGGGAAGAACAAAUGUGUAAGUAACUAUGCACGUCUUGACGGUACCUAAUCAGAAAGCCACGGCUAACUACGUGCCAGCAGCCGCGGUAAUACGUAGGUGGCAAGCGUUAUCCGGAAUUAUUGGGCGUAAAGCGCGCGUAGGCGGUUUUUUAAGUCUGAUGUGAAAGCCCACGGCUCAACCGUGGGAGGUGAUUGGAAAAUGGAGAACUUGAGUGCAGAAGAGGAAAGUGGAAUUCCAUGUGUAGCGGUGAAAUGCGCAGAGAUAUGGGGGAACACCAGUAGCGAAGGCGACUUUCUGGUCUAUAACAGACGCUAAUGUGCGAAAGCGUGGGGAUCAAGCAGG
rnacentral:rRNA from 1 species